UCCAAGUAGUGGUGGCUCGCCGGCCAUCAUCCCCUCUCCGCCCUCCCCUGUGGUUGAGUCACCGGUCACACCACCUGGAAGUGGAGGUGGCUACGAUACACCAACACCCUCACAUGGAAGCGGUGGUUACUAUAAUUCACCUCCAACUCCAAGCAGCAAUGGCUCACCGGCCAUCAUCCCCUCUCCGCCCUCCCCUGUGUUUGAGUCACCGGUCACACCACCUGGAAGUGGAGGUGGCUACGAUACACCAACACCCUCACAUGGAAGCGGUGGUUACUAUAAUUCACCUCCAACUCCAAGCAGCAAUGGCUCACCGGCCAUCAUUCCCUCUCCGCCCUCCCCUGUGUUUGAGUCACCAGUCA
rnacentral:lncRNA from 1 species